AUAGCUAUGCAGUUUUCUAGCUUCGGCGCUCCUCGGACAAAAUUUACAUUCGGAUACCCUCGGUAGCACAUGGGAUAUUUUGGCCGCCAUAUUGCGCCUUUGCCGGCUGCAGAAAUUAAGCGUAACUGGCUUUUAUUACCUCUAACCAGAUCAUAUUCCUGCUGUGACAUAUGGACAGGUGUAUUUAGGUCCGCAACCUGGUCAAUAUCCCAGUAAGCAGUUUGAGACAGACCAAAGGUCACCUAAAGAAAGAGAAAUUUCAAAGGUUGUUAAGGAUAAACUACUGUCCACUGACCAAAAAAUUUAAAUUUUAAUAUAUUUUUUUUUGUAAAAUAUGGCUGAGAGUGUUGAAAGUAGUCGGCUAUUUCGUGCCAUUGGAAAGUUUCUUGAGUCCAAUCCAGGACGGUCCAAGUCACCUAAGUAUGAAAGGGUUAUAAUUCUUUCUGAUAGCAAAGGUAAAUAUUUGCAACAUGAGCAUGCUGCAGUUUCUUCCUUGUUAAAAAUUCCAAAAAUUGAAUACUGGUACUUCAAUGGUAGGUCUACUCGUGAUGGAGUCCAAUAUUUGAUCAGUAACAUUGAACUUCUAAAUAAGUCAUUGCAGAAAACCAUUGUUUUAUUCUGGCAUUUUACCUGUGAUCUCACCCUGAUGCCAGAUAAACAUGGUCAUCGUUAUAUUUUACCCAGGUUUCCUUCCUUUGAAGAUAUCAAAGUCCAUCUUCAACCUGACUUGGACAAACUUGUCGCAUUAGGUCAUUCCAACAAGUUUGAUGUUGGAAUUCUUGAAGUACCACCUAUUUUCUGCAGCUUGUGGAACAGAAGAAUAGGUGAUUUGGACAGGCCCGAUAUAGAAGAUAGUUCUUUAAAUAAUCAUGUUAUUCUUGUUAAUGAAUAUUUAAGGGACUUGAACAGUUCAUUAGGAUUUAACUCUCCUAAGUUUGAACAAGAUUUUGCUAUGUAUAGGUCUAAGACUACAGGUAAUAAUGCAUAUAAAUCAAAGGUAACGUUCACCAGUUCUUUACUUCUGGAUGGUGUACAUCCUCACCCAUUAGUUGCAAGGAAGUGGUUAUACCGAAUUUGUCAGUCAGUGUCUGAAUAGUUUUUUUAUCUAUACCUGAGAAUCUGUUCCACAAUUAUAAAUAAAAAUUGAGCUACUAAAUAGUAAGUCCUGCGAUGGAAACCUUCACAAUGUACUGGACCUCCAUUAUGGGGGAUGUUACACAGUUAUUCACAUGUCAAUUAAGUAAUGUUGCAAAGUAGAACAGUAACUUAGUUUUAAGUAUUGUCUGAUCCAAAUGUGUAGUUUUUAAUGACAGGUCAGAUACUUUUGAUGAAGUGUACAAACCUGGAAAUGGUGCUUUAAUAUGUACUGCGUUGUGUAGUCUGAAAAACAGGCACUGUUUUUUUCCUGUAUUUAUACAAGCAAGUCAUCACACCGGUAAUAAUUAGUAGAAAAAAAGACUUCUUUAUUUGAGAAGGAUGAACUUUUUCAAAAUUGUAUUUGUUAUAUAUUACUUAGUGCAAGUUACAUACCUGUUGUCAUGAUAAAUUUUUGUUUGCUUUGUAUUUUAUUUUUCAAAAUGGCACUGUCUUGCUUACCGACUAAACAUUAUUGUCAUAAUUAAGAAGUGAACUUUUUCUAACAAACCCGAUAACAUGAUGAAAAUGAAUCAUGACCCUCGUACCAUUCGUGCAUAAAUUAACAUUUCUCCAUUAAAUAAUAAGUACUGUUUUUGGAGAAGAUUGUUGUUUAAAUACAAUCUCCAGCGUUUUACUUAGACUUAGAUUAUGCAUUUCAAAUGUAAAAAGAAUAAUCUUAUAUUCUGUUUAUGUUAUGUUAUUAAAUGUAUUUAUAUCAGUUGCGAUGUACCAUUAUUUGGUUGACAUGUGAAUUUUUUUGUAACUAUGUCCUAAUGAAAUGGCCCAUAGCUUUCAACACUCUUAUCCGCUAAUAACUUUUUAUUUUUAAACAAAAAUUAAGAUUUAUUUUAUUUGUGAAAAGAGACGAAACUUUAACAAAUCUCAAAAAACAAAACCAGCUCUCAAUACCUGGAAGGUCGUUAUUGGACAGUAGUUGAACUGGAGUUGUCCAUGUGGGAACCAAGAAAUAGCCGCAUUGUUGUGGAAGUACACUGAUGUCAUCCUUCUGCAAAGUUCCAAAUGUAUUUAAGAUUUACGUCAAUCCAGACAAGCUGUGGUUGCUGGUUUCUUAUACUUAGUGGACUGAUGGAUGAUAUACCACAAGUUGAUCUUUGCAUCCAAGGAGCUGUUGUGAAUACUGCUCUACAGAUAUGUUGUAUUACUUCUCCAGCAAGCGUUAAAUAAGUCUUGAUAUACUGUGGAUUUUCCCAGCAUAAAAGCUGUAUUGUUGAAGCAGGAAAAAUAAGUCUUGAUAUACUGAUGUAAUGUAUGUGGAUUUUCCCAGCAUAAAAGCUCUUGUUGAAGCAGGAAAAAUAAGUCUUGAUAUACUGAUGUAAUGUAUGUGGAUUUUCCCAGCAUAAAAGCUGUCUUGUUGAAGCAGGAAAAUAGAGAUGAUUCUGCACAUACAAGUAAACUGUUGACUACUGUCUUUUUUUCUCUCACACAUUGAGCAGCCUGAUGACAGAUGAAUGAGUUCCUGUAUCACCAAGAAUGGUAGCCAGGUUGUCAACUAAAGAUGUUCAGUUUGAUUCAUAAGUCCCUGAUCAAGUGUUCUGCAAGUGUUAAUGCUUAUUGUCAGCAGAUUUAUUUUUAUUUAUUUAGUAAAGUUAUAAAAUGUAUAGUUAAGUUUUGGCACAAGAAAACUUCAAAUUUGUUAAGAAAUAAAGCUCUGUAUUAAAAUAUAAGGAUCCUGUAUGACAGUCUGUGUAAGACGGUGCUUUCCCAAACACAAUGGCAGCCUUGAUGGGAAAACAAGAAUUAGCAAGGUUUUUUAUCCAUGCUGUCCCAUGUGUUGGAAAAACACCUACCAUACUAAGGCAGUCAUGUAAGAUCAUGUAUCUUCACUACAACAAGUAUUAGAAUAUGUACUAGUAUGUAACAGUUAAACUAAAUAAUUUGUAUGUUACAGUAAAAGAAACGUAAGUUAUAAAAACUGUAAUAUUACAUUUGUGUUUGUCAACAUUGUAAUUGAUACUGUGGAAAAUAAAUGGAUAAAGUGGU
rnacentral:lncRNA from 1 species